UUGAGUUUGAUCCUGGCUCAGAUUGAACGCUGGCGGCAGGCCUAACACAUGCAAGUCGAGCGGUAGCACAGAGAGCUUGCUCUCGGGUGACGAGCGGCGGACGGGUGAGUAAUGUCUGGGAAACUGCCUGAUGGAGGGGGAUAACUACUGGAAACGGUAGCUAAUACCGCAUAACGUCGCAAGACCAAAGUGGGGGACCUUCGGGCCUCAUGCCAUCAGAUGUGCCCAGAUGGGAUUAGCUAGUAGGUGGGGUAACGGCUCACCUAGGCGACGAUCCCUAGCUGGUCUGAGAGGAUGACCAGCCACACUGGAACUGAGACACGGUCCAGACUCCUACGGGAGGCAGCAGUGGGGAAUAUUGCACAAUGGGCGCAAGCCUGAUGCAGCCAUGCCGCGUGUGUGAAGAAGGCCUUCGGGUUGUAAAGCACUUUCAGCGGGGAGGAAGGCGUUAAGGUUAAUAACCUGGCGAUGA
rnacentral:rRNA from 1 species